UUCCAUCUUCCAGAAAAGCUUAAGGAGGGCGGAGGCCAACUUCUGUGGGGCUUCCAUGUGUUCACACAGCGGCUCUGGAGCAGAGGGAAUAUCAUGCUACAGAUUUCCAGAGAAGUUCUUGGCUAGCGUUUUCUGAUCUCCACUUCUACUGCAAAAGAUUUACCAAAAUGGCAAGUUCUAUAUGGCAGCUGGCAGAUUUUCUAGAAUUGUUUUGGAUUGGUGAAUGAAUAACAUAAAAAAUAAUCUCAAGAUUUUUUCUCUCAUCUAAAGCUUGCAUGAUAUUUUCUGGUACCAUGGGAAGUGAGACCACAGAAAGGAAGCUUUCCAGUUAGCUCUGGCUUGAAUCAUCCAAGUCUUGUACGGAAAGAGGUCAACAAAGAAGAAAGAACAAGGGACAAAUAACACCAAAUGGUUUGAUGUGGCCCCAAGGAAUCACACUGUUUUAUAUAUAACUAAAAUUAUAGGCAAUACACUGCUGGAAGUCAGGAAGGCAGACCCAGAGUCUCUUGGAAGCUUAGCACCCUGUGCUCCUAGAUGCAAGUAACAUUUAAAUGUACCUUUAAUAUGUAUUUUACAAAGUAUUACUUAAAGACUAUUAGUUAAGUAAAUAUAACUUUAAGGCUUUUCAUAUA